CCUACGGGAUGCAGCAGUGGGGAAUAUUGCACAAUGGGGGAAACCCUGAUGCAGCGACGCCGCGUGAGUGAAGAAGUAAUUCGGUAUGUAAAGCUCUAUCAGCAGGGAAGAAAAUGACGGUACCUGAGUCAGAAGCCCCGGCUAACUACGUGCCAGCAGCCGCGGUAAUACGUAGGGGGCAAGCGUUAUCCGGAUUUACUGGGUGUAAAGGGGGCGUAGACGGCAGUGCAAGUCUGGAGUGAAAGGCGGGGGCCCAACCCCCGGACUGCUCUGGAAACUGUACGGCUGGAGUGCAGGAGAGGUAAGUGGAAUUCCUGGUGUAGCGGUGAAAUGCGUAGAUAUUAGGAGGAACACCAGUGGCGAAGGCGGCUUACUGGACUGCAACUGACGUUGAGGCUCGAAAGCGUGGGGAGCAAACAGGAUUAGAUACCCUGGUAGUC
rnacentral:rRNA from 1 species